CCUACGGGGGGCAGCAGUGGGGAAUAUUGGACAAUGGGGGGAACCCUGAUCCAGCCAUGCCGCGUGUGUGAAGAAGGCCCUCGGGUUGUAAAGCACUUUCAGUGAGGAAGAACGCCUGGUGGUUAAUACCCAUCAGGAAAGACAUCACUCACAGAAGAAGCACCGGCUAACUCCGUGCCAGCAGCCGCGGUAAUACGGAGGGUGCGAGCGUUAAUCGGAAUUACUGGGCGUAAAGCGCGCGUAGGUGGCUUGAUAAGCCGGUUGUGAAAGCCCCGGGCUCAACCUGGGAACGGCAUCCGGAACUGUCAAGCUAGAGUGCAGGAGAGGAAGGUAGAAUUCCCGGUGGAGCGGUGAAAUGCGUAGAGAUCGGGAGGAAUACCAGUGGCGAAGGCGGCCUUCUGGACUGACACUGACACUGAGGUGCGAAAGCGUGGGUAGCAAACAGGAUUAGAUACCCGUGUAGUC
rnacentral:rRNA from 1 species